CUGGCUCAGGAUGAACGCUGGCGGCGUGCCUAACACAUGCAAGUCGAACGAGCGAGAGAUGAAACCUAGUGAUUCUCGAGCGAGUGGCGGACGGGUGAGUAACGCGUGGGUAACCUGCCUUACAGAGGGGGAUAACAGUCUGAAAAGACUGCUAAUACCGCAUAAGCACACAGUACCGCAUGGUACAGGGUGAAAAGAUUUAUCACUGUAAGAUGGACCCGCGUCUGAUUAGCCAGUUGGCAGGGUAACGGCCUACCAAAGCGACGAUCAGUAGCCGACCUGAGAGGGUGAUCGGCCACAUUGGGACUGAGACACGGCCCAAACUCCUACGGGAGGCAGCAGUGGGGGAUAUUGCACAAUGGAGGAAACUCUGAUGCAGCGAACCGCCGCGUGAGUGAAGAAGUAUUUCGGUAUGUAAAGCUCUAUCAGCAGGGAAGAUAAUGACAGUACCUGACCAAGAAGCCCCGGCUAACUACGUGCCAGCCGCUGC
rnacentral:rRNA from 1 species